GUACUGAUGAAGAGUUCCAAGCUAGGACGAAACAGCUGUCCAGUAC
rfam:Trichobilharzia regenti genome assembly, scaffold: TRE_scaffold0088290